rnacentral:lncRNA from 13 species
CAAUCCCGAUAAUAAGCUAUGUUUUGCAAUAGGCCUAGCGCAUUUACUUAACCCAGGAUGUACUGAUCUGACGGCAUUGCAAAAGGCUAGAGAGAUCCAAACGGGGGUGGGUCUCGGUAUACACGAGGGGGUUGCUUUUUCCGACAUAUUCAAAUUUGAAAACCUUCUGAAUAUCAAGAUUGUGGUUUUGUACCACAGUAGAGCUAAUGCAUCUCUCUUGAAGUUCCAAAACACCCCCCAACCGCACCCGCAGAUUCUGUAUUUUUAUGUGCAAAACGAACAUUACUACGCCAUUACCAACAUCACGGCGUUCCUCGGGACCCCCUAUGUGUGUCCAUCAUGCCAUACCGGCUACACCCGAAAGGGGGGGCACUCGUGCCGUUAUAACUGUUCUGUAUGUCAAGAUGCAGAGUGCCCAAUGCAACCCUUAAACUUGACACCCUGUGCUGAUUGCCACCGCACAUGUCGUUCGACCUACUGUUACGCUAAACACAAAAUUGAAACAUGGCACCCUAAGGCCUGUAAAUCUGUAAGCAUUUGUGCCAUUAACAAGAAAUGCCCAAAAUGUCAUUGCAAUUACAACCUUAAAAUAGAUAGCCCUAAACCACAUGUGUGUGGAAUCAUUCAUUGUCCAAUCUGUAAAGGGCCUUUGAAAAGCAGAGACGCUGAAGUGGUUCAAGAAGUGCCACACGAGUGUUAUAUUCAACCCUUGGCUGAAGAUGAACAUUCAGAGAAAUAUGUGUUCUAUGAUUUUGAGACAAAUCAGCAAUCGGGGGAUCAUUUGCCUAUUUUUGUAUCUACCAUGACAUUCAAGGGGGAAAAGUGGUCUGCAGAAGGAUCCAAUUGUGCACUACUCUUUCUAAAACAUUUUAGAAAGCCACAGUACAGAAACUUCACGUUUAUAGCCCACAAUGCUAGAGCCUACGAUUCUUACCUGCUUCUGAAUCCCUUGAUACAGCAAGGCGUGGCACCCUGGGUCAUAGCUCAAGGUAGUAAAAUCUUGUGUUUUGUAGACCCCGCCUUCAACCAGAGAUACAUUGACAGUCUAAGCUUCUUACCCAUGCGAUUGGCUCAAAUGCCAGAGGCCUUGGGUUUUGAAAACUCUGUGAAAGGUUGGUUCCCCCACUUCUUCACAUCUGAUGAGAAUCUACAUUAUGUCGGAGCAUAUCCCAGCCCUGAAAUGUACGGGUGUGAUCAAAUGUCUCCCAAAGAGCGUGAGAGAUUCAUGACGUGGUACGCGACAGUAAGACAUGGCACCUUUGAUUUCCAUAAAGAGAUGGAAUCAUACUGUGACAAUGAUGUGGUUAUACUUCGUGAAGGAUGCCUCAGAUUCAGAGAAGAGGUAAUCAAAGAUGCAGGUAUUGACCCCUGGAGUUGUACAACUAUUGCAUCGGCAUGCAUGAAAACCUAUCGUACACACUAUUUGCCGCCCGCUUCAAUAGCCAUUCCCUCGCCUGACAACUACCGACGCCAAUUCAAGUCAUACUCUAGUGGGUCCAUUCAAUGGUUAGAGUAUAUGGCCCAGGAUAAAGACAUUUUUAUUCAACAUGCUUUGAAUCUAGGGGAGAAGGCAUUUGGCUCUUACCAUGUAGAUGGCUACACACAGAUUGACGGGGUUGAGACCGCGUAUGAGUACAACGGUUGUUUCUUCCAUGGUUGCAAAUCUUGCUUUGUGCCCCAGACNNNNNNNNNNNNNNNNNNNNNNNNNNNNNN